AAAUGAGAAUGGUUGGCUUUCUCUUCCCGGUUCUUCCCAGAAUCGGGAAAAGCUGGGCUAAGAGAGUGGAGAAAAACAAAAA
rnacentral:pre_miRNA from 12 species